rnacentral:lncRNA from 1 species
UCCUUUUCAUUCAACGGUCAAAACUAAUCCCACCCACAUAUAUCUACCUAAUAACCUAAAACCUAACCCUAGAGAACCCCUUCACCUUCUAGCCGCCGCCGCCAGCCAUUCUCCAACUCUAAGACAAACUAGGAACAGACCCUAACCUUCAUUCAUCUUCUCCAAAAACAUCCACCCCAGAACAGCGGCGGCCAAACAGACCCAUCAUUAACCAUCGCUGCCGAUCCCACCCCAUCUUUACCUGAGAGCGUCGCCGCCUUCAACCAGCCAGACGACCACCCUUAGAUUUGGAGGAAAUCAAUGGCAGACCACCCUUGAACACACUCUUCUUCUUCAACACUCAUCUCCAAGACCUCUCCCCCCUCACACACUCUAAAAAUCAGCGACACACCCCCCAUCCCCCACAAAACAAGCAGCCGCUGCCAGUCGCCCAGACUUACUAGAAAAAUAAUUCAUCUCCUCUCCUCUUUUCGAAGUUGAAAAUCCUGAGUUAUCUCGAAUUUUCGGGAACUUGAGAUUCUAAUUUAGCAGAUUCCUUAUUUCCCAAGAAGUUGUAGAAAUCAGCUAUGGAUGGAAGAGGAACCUUUAUUCGUAGGUCUAUUUCUUAUGUACCAAAGAAUUGAUCGUUAAUGGACUCGCCAACAAAUAGAGAAAACAAAGUAUUGGGAUUUCUGGCCGCGAUUCAGUCGUAGUUCAAUUCGAGUUCACUAUUGCUCUAACAAUUGGAGCGGGUCAGUUGUUGUUCGUCUUUCUGGAGAUUCUAAUUAAAAUUGGAGAAGUUUUAACUUUAAUUGAGGUCCGUCCUUUCCUUGCUCUUCACUUGAUCUAGAUCUACCUCACUUGAGUAUUAUGUGCUUGCUUUCAAUUCUUAUUUUAAUUGGCCAGUUUAGAUGAUUAAUUGCCAUCAAUACUGUUUAUUUGUUCUCUGUUUGUAAUUAUCUUCAUUUGGUUUGGUUUGAUUGCUGAAUUUCCUUUUGAUCCAUAAUUUCCCAAUUCGCUAAAUCGGUAAUAAUGUGCUAUGGCCUAGUGACUAAAUUGGAUCUAAAAAGUUACGCGGACUAUAUGAUUUAUUUGUGAGUAGAUGUCAAGGAACU